CCCAUCUGACAUGGCGAACUGAUCUCCUUUAUCAUAGCCGGUCUAGACAUGGAAUAUCAACCCAUUAUCUCUACCCUAGAUU
rnacentral:ncRNA from 1 species